rnacentral:SRP_RNA from 1 species
GUGGCGGCUAGGCGGGGUGCUCGGCCUACCCUUGCAGAGUUAAAAACUCUGCACCGCAAAUGGUCGAUAUGGCGGGCCGAAGCCGAUGUGAGGUGCCUCAAUAAAUGUUGGUGUUACACAGCCCAGCAAUGAAGCCUUGUCCCGUGGGGUGCAUGGAGGCAAUAGACUCCUCGGAGGAGGAGUCGAAUUGCCCUUACCAAGCGAACCGGGUUAGGCCAGGAAUGGAGCAGCCCUAAGCUUGGACAUGCACGUUCACGGGGUUACAGGGCUAAGUAUGGUGUGUAAACACCGCAUUUAGAGGGGCAUCCAGCAUCGGCGUGCCGCCAC